rnacentral:tRNA from 1 species
GGGGUUGUGGCUCAGUGGUAGAGCACUUGCCUAGCAUGUGUGAGGCACUGGGUUCAAUUCUCAGCAUCACAU